UGUGGAUAGGAGGUGCCCAGUGUAAGGACACCCUGCUGUCCUCUGAGUUUCCUCUGCAGUACAGACUCAGGAGCGGCCGGGGGUUCCUCUGCGCCCUGGCACCAGGGUCCUGGUCCUGCCGCAACCUCCCCUCCAGCCCUUGGCGCCAGCUGGCCAUGAAGUCGCCCUUCUAUCCCUGUCACAACACCACCUGGGUGGAGACGGGCUCCUCGGCGACGAUGGGUGGCGUGCUGUUCAGCGCGGGCCUGCUGGGCAACCUGCUGGCGCUGGCGCUGCUGGCGCGCUCCAGGUUGGGGUCCCGCCGGCCGCGCCCCGCGCGCCGGCUGCCUUCUGUCUUCUACGUGCUGGUGUGUGGCCUGACAGCCACCGACUUGCUGGGCAAGUGUCUCGUUAGCCCGGUGGUGCUGGCAGCCUAUGCGCAAAACCGGAGCCUGUGGGGACUGCUGCCCGCCCCGGGAGACCAGCUGUGCCAAGCCUUCGCCUUCAUCAUGUCCUUCUUUGGGCUAGCCUCGACGUUACAGCUGCUGGCCAUGGCGCUGGAGUGCUGGCUGUCCCUAGGACACCCCUUCUUCUACCAGCGGCACAUCACCCUGCGCCGGGGCGCGCUGGUGGCGCCGGUCGUGGGCGCCUUCUGCUUGGCUUUCUGCGGGCUCCCCUUCGCGGGCUUCGGGAAGUACGUGCAGUAUUGUCCCGGCACCUGGUGCUUCAUCCAGAUGGUCCACGAGAAGGGCUCGCUGUCGGUGCUGGGUUUCUCUGUGCUCUACUCGAGCCUCAUGGCGCUUCUGGUCCUCGCGAUCGUGCUGUGCAACCUGGGCGCCAUGCACAACCUCUACGCCAUGCACCGGCGGCUACGGCAACACACGCGCUGCUGCCCCAGGGACAGCUUCGAGCCAGGCGCCGGCCAGACACAGGGGUCCUCACAUCCCCUGGAGGAGCUGGACCACCUCCUGCUGCUGGCCCUCAUGACCGUGCUCUUCACAAUGUGCUCCCUGCCUUUAAUUUACCGUGCUUACCAUGGAGCCUUUAAACCUGACGACACAGCUUCCCCAGGAGACUCGUAUGACCUCCAAGCUUUGCGUUUUCUGUCUGUGAUUUCAAUCGUGGACCCCUGGAUUUUCAUCAUUUUCAGGACUUCAGUAUUUCGGGUGUUUUUUCACAAGAUUUUCAUAAGACCUGUUAUCUAUAGGAGUUGGCACAGCCAUUCUUGCCGAGCUAACAUGGAAUCCACUUUCUGACGGUUACUUUCUCUGGUAAGUUGAAGAAUAUAUCACACACUCAAAGGACCAUAAUUGGAAAGAAAACUUACAAUCAAAUUCAUAAAAAAUUAUCUCCCAUAACUAAGACAGCUAUUUUCAAAAAGUGAUGUAUCUUAACAAUAUGUUGUCAAUCUGUAUUCAUAAACCAUUUUGGUCCAUUUUUUAUUUUAUGUAAACAGCAACUAAAAUUUGUAUGUUGUAGACAAUGUUAAAAGUGUUAAGGCAGUGGUAUAAAUUGUCCCAACAUUUGUACUUGGUGGCCCUAAAUUUUUAAAUCUUGAGACCUAUGAGUUUUUAUUUAAAGUAGAAACAUUACUGUCUAUUUACAAUUAUGUGAUAAGUGUUCGUGAACAAGCCCAGCAAUGACUUACCCUAUUCAUUUCUAGUGAAUCUUAAUUUAUUCCAAUCCAUAAUUGCCUCUGUUUAGUUGUGUUCUUUGCCAGGUGGCCUAAGGGUAACCUAAAUUAUAUAUACUACUCUGAGAAGAGAGCUGGAAAACAGGACCAGGUCAGGCACUUGAGAGACCAUCUGGGGAUCCUCACUGCCACAAGAGGAGAUUUGCGGCUCAUGUACAGGCAGUAUGAGAAUGAAGACUAGCAGAUCUUUUGGAAUUCAUCAGACCUUCAGUGCUAGAUGGGAC